rnacentral:lncRNA from 1 species
AACGGCUAGCUCUCACUGUGCAGUAUGCACAGACAGAGAUGCAUAGGCCAAAAAAACGUCAAAUGAAAUAUUCUAUUGUCCACUCUCCCUAAAUAUUUUGAAGAAUAAUUUUGUGUGUGUAAUCAUAACAAAAUCUAUUGCAAAAUUAGUAAUUUAGUAUCAUAUGAUAGUAAUUAAUUAUUUUGUAUCAAGGGGCUAACAUACAAGCCAUAUGAGUUAUACACAUUCACUCAAAUGUACCUACAUGGCUGCAUACAUAUUUACAAUAAGACAUGAGGACACGGCCAUCACUAGCUCCCUUAUACUAUCAUCAAACACUCACACAUACAUAAACACCGACGAUGUACACUUUCCAUCCCGAUCAAACCUCCAAAACUACACCUUUUUGGUCGACACAGCUGGAGCCGAUUUUCGAUAACUCGAAGUCCUAGAACCAUCCACCACUCUUCUACCUUUGUUUUUCGGAGCAGCACCGGACUUAGAAGACGCCUUGAGCGACGACGGUGGCCACUGGCCGCAGCUCACAGCCAUGUCACUAUUAU